GAGUUUGAUCUUGGCUCAGAACGAACGCUGGCGGCAUGCCUAACACAUGCAAGUCGAACGGGAUCCAGGCUUCGGCCUGGUGAGAGUGGCGGACGGGUGAGUAACGCGUGGGAACCUGCCCAAUGGUCUGGGAUAACCGCGGGAAACUGCGGCUAAUACCGGAUAAGCCCGAGAGGGGAAAGAUUUAUCGCCGAUGGAGGGGCCCGCGUCCGAUUAGGUAGUUGGUGAGGUAACGGCUCACCAAGCCGACGAUCGGUAGCUGGUCUGAGAGGAUGAUCAGCCACACUGGGACUGAGAUACGGCCCAGACUCCUACGGGAGGCAGCAGUGGGGAAUAUUGGACAAUGGGGGCAACCCUGAUCCAGCAAUGCCGCGUGAGUGAUGAAGGCCUUAGGGUUGUAAAGCUCUUUUGGCGGGGACGAUGAUGACGGUACCCGCAGAAUAAGCCCCGGCUAACUUCGUGCCAGCCGCCGCAGUAAU
rnacentral:rRNA from 1 species